rnacentral:miRNA from 1 species
AGAAACCUGGAUGAACUUUUUGG